GGGCUGGUAGCUCAGCGCCAGAGCGCACGCUUGAUAAGCGUGAGGGCGGACGGUUCAACUCCUCCCCGGCCCACCA
rnacentral:tRNA from 1 species